rnacentral:rRNA from 1 species
GACGAACGCUGGCGGCGUGCUUAACACAUGCAAGUCGAACGCAGUGGCGAACGGGUGAGUAAUACGUGGGUAACCUGCCCUCCUUUUUGGGAUAAGCCUUGGAAACGGGGUCUAAUACCGAAUAAAGGGGGAUGGGCUCGCGGCCUAUCAGCUUGUUGGUGGGGUGAUGGCCUACCAAGGCGGUGACGGGUAGCCGGCCUGAGAGGGUGACCGGCAACAGUGGGACUGAGAUACGGCCCAGACUCCUACGGGAGGCAGCAGUGGGGGAUAUUGCACAAUGGGCGAAAGCCUGAUGCCGCGACGCCACGUGGGGGAUGAAGGCUUCGUGGGUGGAAACCUAUGUCUAUAAGGAACGGGUAGGUGCAGAAGAAGCGACGGCUAACUACGUGACAGCAGCCGCGGUAAUAC